GACGAACGCUGGCGGCGUGCUUAACACAUGCAAGUCGAACGGAAAGGCCCUGCUUUUGUGGGGUGCUCGAGUGGCGAACGGGUGAGUAACACGUGAGUAACCUGCCCUUGACUUUGGGAUAACUUCAGGAAACUGGGGCUAAUACCGGAUAGGAGCUCCUGCUGCAUGGUGGGGGUUGGAAAGUUUCGGCGGUUGGGGAUGGACUCGCGGCUUAUCAGCUUGUUGGUGGGGUAGUGGCUUACCAAGGCUUUGACGGGUAGCCGGCCUGUGAGGGUGACCGGCCACAUUGGGCCUGCGAUACGGCCCAGAGUCCUACGGGAGGCAGAAGUGGGGAAUAUUGCACAAUGGGCGGAAGCCUGAUGCAGAAACGCCGCGUGCGGGAUGACGGCCUUCGGGUUGUAAACCGCUUUCGCCUGUGACGAAGCGUGAGUGACGGUAAUGGGUAAAGAAGCACCGGCUAACUACGUG
rnacentral:rRNA from 1 species